AGUGGCGGACGGGUGAGUAACACAUGGGUACCUGCCUUGCAGUGAGGGAUACCGGCGAGAAAUCGCCGACAAGCCCGCAUACGCUCUUUUUUUGCAAAAGGAGAGAGGAAAGCUGCCGCGAGGCGGCGCUGCAAGAUGGGCCUGUGGCCGAUUAGCUAGCUGGUGGGGUAAAAGCCUACCAGGGCCACGAUCGGUAGCUGGUCUGAGAGGACGAGCAGCCACACUGGGAUUGAGAACGGCCCAGACUCCUACGGGGGGCAGCAGUGAGGAAUUUUCCGCAAUGGUCGCAAGACUGACGGAGCAACGCCGCGUGCCGGAGGACGCUUUUCGGAGUGUAAACGGCUUUACUGGGGGAAGAGGAUGGACGGUACCCCAGCAAUCAGCCCCGGCUAACUACGUGCCAGCAGCCGCGGUAAUACGUAGGGGGCGAGCGUUGUCCGGAGUUACUGGGCGUAAAGGGCGCGCAGGCGGUCUGGCGCGUUUCCGGUGCCAGCUCCUCGCUUAACGAGGGGAGUGCCGGGAA
rnacentral:rRNA from 1 species